AGUGAACGCUGGCGGUAGGCCUAACACAUGCAAGUCGAACGGCAGCACAGUAAGAGCUUGCUCUUACGGGUGGCGAGUGGCGGACGGGUGAGGAAUACAUCGGAAUCUACUUUUUCGUGGGGGAUAACGUAGGGAAACUUACGCUAAUACCGCAUACGACCUACGGGUGAAAGCAGGGGAUCUUCGGACCUUGCGCGAUUGAAUGAGCCGAUGUCGGAUUAGCUAGUUGGCGGGGUAAAGGCCCACCAAGGCGAGGAUCCGUAGCUGGUCUGAGAGGAUGAUCGGCCGCACUGGAAGGGAGACACGGUCCAGACUCCUACGGGAGGCAGCAGUGGGGAAUAUUGGACAAUGGGCGCAAGCCUGAUCCAGCCAUACCGCGUGGGUGAAGAAGGCCUUCGGGUUGUAAAGCCCUUUUGUUGGGAAAGAAAAGCAGCAGGUUAAUACCCCGCUGUUCUGACGGUACCCAAAGAAUAAGCACCGGCUAACUUCGUG
rnacentral:rRNA from 1 species